rnacentral:rRNA from 1 species
ACGGAAGGCAGCAGUGAGGAAUAUUGGUCAAUGGGCGGAAGCCUGAACCAGCCAAGUCGCGUGAAGGAUGAAGGUAUUAUGUAUUGUAAACUUCUUUAGCAGCAGAGUAAUAAGGGGGUCGAGACCUCCGAUGCAAGUAUGCUGAGAAUAAGGAUCGGCUAACUCCGUGCCAGCAGCCGCGGUAAUACGGAGGAUCCGAGCGUUAUCCGGAUUUAUUGGGUUUAAAGGGUGCGUAGGCGGGAUGUUAAGUCAGCGGUGAAAGCGUGUAGCUCAACUAUACCAAGCCGUUGAAACUGGCGUUCUUGAGUGUAAACGAGGUAGGCGGAAUGUGACGUGUAGCGGUGAAAUGCUUAGAUAUGUCACAGAACCCCGAUUGCGAAGGCAGCUUACCAGCAUACAACUGACGCUGAGGCACGAAAGUGCGGGGAUCAAACAGGAUUAGAUACCCUGGUA